rnacentral:rRNA from 1 species
UACGUAGGGUGCGAGCGGUGUCCGGAAUUAUUGGGCGUAAAGAGCUUGUAGGCGGUUUGUCGCGUCUGCUGUGAAAUUUCGGGGCUCAACCCCGAACUUGCAGUGGGUACGGGCAGACUAGAGUGUGGUAGGGGAGACUGGAAUUCCUGGUGUAGCGGUGAAAUGCGCAGAUAUCAGGAGGAACACCGAUGGCGAAGGCAGGUCUCUGGGCCACUACUGACGCUGAGAAGCGAAAGCAUGGGGAGCGAACAGG